CCUACGGGAGGCAGCAGUGAGGAAUAUUGGUCAAUGGGCGCGAGCCUGAACCAGCCAAGUCGCGUGAGGGCAGACGGUCCUAUGGAUUGUAACACUCUUUUGUCGGGGAGCAAAAGACGCCACGCGUGGCGUUCCGAGAGUAACCGAAGAAAAAGCAUCGGCUAACUCCGUGCCAGCAGUCGCGGUAAGACGGAGGAUGCGAGCGUUAUCCGGAUUUAGUGGGUUUAAAGGUUGUGCAGGGGGAAGUUUAUGUCAGCGGUAAAAUUGAGAGGCUCAACCUGUUCGAGCCGUUGAAACUGGUUUUCUUGAGUGAGUGAGAAGUAUGCGGAAUGCGUGGUGUAGCGGUGAAAUGCAUAGAUAUCACGCAGAACUCCGAUUGCGAAGGCAGCAUACCGGCGCUCAACUGACGCUCAUGCACGAAAGUGUGGGUAUCGAACAGGAUUAGAUACCCCAGUAGUC
rnacentral:rRNA from 1 species